UACGAAGGGGGGCUAGCGUUGCUCGGAAUCACUGGGCGUAAAGCGCACGUAGGCGGAUUGCUAAGUCAGGGGUGAAAUCCUGGAGCUCAACUCCAGAACUGCCUUUGAUACUGGCGAUCUUGAGUCCGGGAGAGGUGAGUGGAACUGCGAGUGUAGAGGUGAAAAUUCGUAGAUAUUCGCAAGAACACCAGUGGCGAAGGCGGCUCACUGGCCCGGUACUGACGCUGAGGGUGCGAAAAGCGUGGGG
rnacentral:rRNA from 1 species